rnacentral:misc_RNA from 1 species
GAAAUGCGAUAAGUAAUGUGAAUUGCAGAAUUCAGUGAAUCAUCGAAUCUUUGAACGCACAUUGCGCCCUUCGGUAUUCCGGGGGGCAUGCCUGUUCGAGCGUCAUUUCACCACUCCAGCCUAGCUGGGCCUUGGGCGUCGCCGUCUGUCGGCGCGCCCCAAUGUCUCCGGCUGAGCCGUCCGUCUCUAAGCGUUGUGGCAACUCAAUCCGCUUGUGGGACCGGGGGGUUCGACGCCGUAAAACAUCACACCAAGGUUGACCUCGGAUCAGGUAGGGAUACCCGCUGAACUUAA